rnacentral:rRNA from 1 species
UACGGGGGGAGCAAGCGUUGUUCGGAUUUACUGGGCGUAAAGGGCGCGUAGGCGGCGCAACAAGUCACUUGUGAAAUCUCCGGGCUUAACCCGGAGCGGUCAAGUGAUACUGUCGUGCUAGAGUGCGGAAGGGGCUACUGGAAUUCUCGGUGUAGCGGUGAAAUGCGUAGAUAUCAAGAGGAACACCUGAGGUGAAGACGGGUUGCUGGGCUGACACUGACGCUGAGGCGCGAAAGCUAGGGUAGCAAACGGG